rnacentral:rRNA from 1 species
UACAGAGGGGGCAAGCGUUGUUCGGAAUUACUGGGCGUAAAGGGCGCGUAGGCGGCCUGUUAAGUCGAACGUGAAAUCCCCGGGCUCAACCCGGGAACUGCGUCCGAUACUGGCAGGCUUGAAUCCGGGAGAGGGAUGCGGAAUUCCAGGUGUAGCGGUGAAAUGCGAAGAUAUCUGGAGGAAUACCGGUGGUGUAGACGGCUCUCUGGACCGUAACUGACGCUGAGACACGAAAGCGUGGGUAGCAAACAGG